UUGGUUUGUCCUAAGUCAAAUUUGUUCAACUUUGACCAAAUUUAUAGAAAAAUGUAACGACAAUUAUACUAUCAAACAUAUGCACUAUCAAAACAUAUUCCAGGGUGGAUUCAACCAAAAAAAUUUAGUAUUGUAAAUGUUGUUAUAUUUUUCUAUAAACUUGGUCAAAGUUGAACAAGUUUGACUUAGGACAAACCAAA
rnacentral:pre_miRNA from 1 species